ensembl:lncRNA
ACCCUCCACCUGCACCCUGAGUCCCCAACUGCUGUCUCCAAACUCUGGACUCUUCCUGUUCCGGGGCAGUUCAAAUUCUUCAGGGGACAGGGAAAAGGUCCUCCCACCCACUGCUCCAUGCCACCCCGGGGAGUUGCUCCUCGGAGAAGCCAGACGGGGAAUGAGAACACAGUGUCCCCCUGAGGGGGCUGGAUUGGAUCCCCAAGCCUUCCGUCCGUGCCCCAGGCCCACUCCAGGGGACACCCACCUGGACAGUGCCCAUGCAAAGAGCAGAAGAAGGAAGAGCUCACCCCAGCUGGGCUCCUGAGCCAGGGCCAGGGCUCCCGCGAACCCGCGGCAUGCUCCAGCUCUGCAUGCCUAAUAGGCUAUUUAAGGAGCUGUUCACCAGCAACCCAGGCAGCACCCCCCUCCCCAGCACGUACACUCGUCCAGAGCCACCUUAAAAGCGGGAGGCAAUUGUGAGGUUGCUGGCCAGCAAGUGGAGUGAAGACCAUAGAGGUAGAUUAAAAAAGAGUGGGGCAGCGAGAGAUUUGUCCUAGGGACCCAAAACAUUAGGUACCCUACUGAAAACCAAAUCCCCUGGAAGCCCGAAGAGACACAGAGACAGCAAGAGAAAAAGAGAUAAAUACAAUCAGCUCAGCUCCAAGAAACUCCUCUCUCUUUCUGUCCCUCCCCCCUCCUUCCUCCCUCUCCUUCUCUCUCUCUCUUUCCCUCUUCCCCCCACCCCACUCUUUUUCCGCCAACCCUAGUCCUCAAGUCCCCAAAGUCCCAGGACCUGCUUCUUCCAGGGAUACCAUGUUGUUCUUCCCUCUGCUGCUGGAGGUGAUCUGGAUCCUGGCUGCAGAAGCGGGUCAGCACUGGACACACGAGGGUGAGCGCAGAGCCCAAGGCCUUCCGCUACCCCUUUCACACUGGGACCUCUUCACCUGCCGGGAGGACUUCUGUCGAGUGUGCGGGGAUCUCCCUGUAGCUUCCGACCCUAGCUCCUCCCUCCCGCAGGCCCCCAGGCCCUACCUUUUACAUAUAAGACUCCUGGCCCUGUUCUGUCAACCACCGCCCCCCAAGCACACACACCCCCCGAUUCAACAGAAAGGCUAGAGACGUCCUCAGUCAGUCUGUGUGGAAUGAGGGUGCAGGCGUGGAGAGGAAACCAGGUAGGGAAAGGAACACUGAGCUUCGCUGCCCAUCCGCUUCCUGGCUCUUUUUNAACCAGGUAGGGAAAGGAACACUGAGCUUCGCUGCCCAUCCGCUUCCUGGCUCUUUUUCUGACCUCAUAGAUCCUACUUGCAUCUGGAAUUGGGACAGAGCCUGAGGUCAGGGGUGAGGAAGAGGCUGGCAGGAUAGGUGGUGACCCUGGUGGAGGUGGAUUCAAUUCCCCUGAACUGCUGACUAAUAAGCAAAUCCCAGAGUCAGUGCAAGGUCCUGUGUGAGAGUAAAACAUGCAGAGGGAAUGGAUUCCCCAGGCCGCUUCACAGGGGGGCCCCCAAGGAGACGUGCUCUUUCUAGAAUCAUUUUAUGUCCCGGCUUUCCUGCUUCCGCUCUAGCCCCCUCUCCGGGCAUGCGGGUUUU